rnacentral:pre_miRNA from 1 species
AACCAACACUCAGUAUGGCAGUGUGGAACAGCUAUCUGUGCCAAGGAAAAAUUAGAUUGUUUUUUUUAGCUGUUCCACACUGCCAUACUGAGUGUUGGUUA